CCUACGGGGUGCUGCAGUGGGGAAUAUUGGACAAUGGGCGAAAGCCUGAUCCAGCCAUGCCGCGUGUGUGAAGAAGGCCUUCGGGUUGUAAAGCACUUUCAGUGGGGAAGAAAGCCUUGGGGCUAAUACCCUCGAGGAAGGACAUCACCCACAGAAGAAGCACCGGCUAACUCCGUGCCAGCAGCCGCGGUAAUACGGAGGGUGCGAGCGUUAAUCGGAAUUACUGGGCGUAAAGCGCGCGUAGGCGGUCUGAUAAGCCGGUUGUGAAAGCCCCGGGCUCAACCUGGGAACGGCAUCCGGAACUGUCAGGCUAGAGUGCAGGAGAGGAAGGUAGAAUUCCCGGUGUAGUGGUGAAAUGCGUAGAGAUCGGGAGGAAUACCAGUGGCGAAGGCGGCCUUCUGGACUGACACUGACGCUGAGGUGCGAAAGCGUGGGUAGCAAACAGGAUUAGAUACCCGAGUAGUC
rnacentral:rRNA from 1 species